rnacentral:rRNA from 1 species
GAUGAACGCUGGCGGCGUGCCUAAUACAUGCAAGUCGAGCGAACAGACGAGGAGCUUGCUCCUCUGACGUUAGCGGCGGACGGGUGAGUAACACGUGGAUAACCUACCUAUAAGACUGGGAUAACUUCGGGAAACCGGAGCUAAUACCGGAUAAUAUAUUGAACCGCAUGGUUCAAUAGUGAAAGACGGUUUUGCUGUCACUUAUAGAUGGAUCCGCGCCGCAUUAGCUAGUUGGUAAGGUAACGGCUUACCAAGGCAACGAUGCGUAGCCGACCGGAGAGGGUGAUCGCCAACACUGGAGCUGAGCCACGGUCCGGACUCCUCGGGGGGGAAGAAGAAGGAAUUCUUCCGCAAUGGGCGAAACCCGGCCGAAGCACCGCCGCGGGAGUAAGAAAGGUCUUGGUAUCAAAAACCUUUUUUAUUGGGAAAAAACAAAGGUGAAAGUAGAUAUCCACUUCUUGAGGUGACCUAAUAAAAAAGCCACGGCUAACUCCGUC